GCCAGGCACAGUGGCGCACACCUGUAAUCCCAGCCGCUUGGGAGGCUGAGGCAGGAGGAUUGCAAGUUCAAAGCCAGCCUCAAUAACUUAGCAAGACCCUGUCUCUA
rnacentral:sRNA from 1 species